GCCGGAUUCAUUUUCUAAUAGCAGAGGUAACAGAUGCGUAUUUCCCUGGUUGGGAGGAUCUUCAAUCAAAAUCAUAGACACAGACCCGUUUCAGGGAGUGGCUCUGCCACUCUUAACAGGGGCCCAAAAGAUCAUGCUUAGAGUUGUCUUCAUUUUUCUUCACAAGGCAAGAAAAGGGGAUGAAUGAGCAAAUAUGGGUGAUUUUAUGGAUGAUGCCUGGAAGUGAUGUACAUUACUUGUACUUGUAAUCAACCAAUAGAAUUCAGUCUUAUGGCCACACCAAACCACAAGAGAGGCUACACAAAGGCAGUCUAGUUUAUCAAGGGAGAAGAGGAGAAGGGUUUGGUCACCAAAUACCAGUUUCUGUCACACUAUCAUAUAUAUUUCUGGAAAAUAAGAACUAUGAGUGGAACUUGCCUGUCCACUUACAGAUAAUUAAACCCGGGAGACUUGGGUGAUGAGAUAAAUCUAUAGACAGGAAGGUCACUUAAUUUUUGUGCAAAUUGGAACAUGUUCAAGCGUGAAAAUCUGUCUUAAAAAUUCAAAUUAUUGGCCAGGUGCAGUGGCUCACGCCUGUAAUCCCAGCACUUUGGGAGGCCGAGGUCAGGAGAUCGAGACCAUCCUAGCUAACACGGUG
rnacentral:lncRNA from 10 species